rnacentral:rRNA from 1 species
UGCUUACUGCAUUUUUUCUUACACAUGUGUUUUUCUUUUUUUGAAACUUUGCUUUGGUAGGCCUUCUAUAUGGGGCCUGCCAGAGAUUAAACUCAACCAAAUUUUAUUUAAUGUCAACCGAUUAUUUAAUAGUCAAAACUUUCAACAACGGAUCUCUUGGUUCUCGCAUCGAUGAAGAACGCAGCGAAAUGCGAUAAGUAAUAUGAAUUGCAGAUAUUCGUGAAUCAUCGAAUCUUUGAACGCACAUUGCGCCCUUUGGUAUUCCAAAGGGCAUGCCUGUUUGAGCGUCAUUUCUCCCUCAAACCCUCGGGUUUGGUGUUGAGCGAUACGCUGGGUUUGCUUGAAAGAAAGGCGGAGUAUAAACUAAUGGAUAGGUUUUUUCCACUCAUUGGUACAAACUCCAAAACUUCUUCCAAAUUCGACCUCAAAUCAGGUAGGACUACCCGCUGAACUUAAGCAUAUCAAUAAGCGGAGGAAAAGAAACCAACAGGGAUUGCCUUAGUAGCGGCGAGUGAAGCGGCAAAAGCUCAAAUUUGAAAUCUGGCACUUUCAGUGUCCGAGUUGUAAUUUGAAGAAGGUAUCUUUGGGUCUGGCUCUUGUCUAUGUUUCUUGGAACAGAACGUCACAGAGGGUGAGAAUCCCGUGCGAUGAGAUGUCCCAGACCUAUGUAAAGUUCCUUCGAAGAGUCGAGUUGUUUGGGAUGCA